rnacentral:rRNA from 14 species
CAUGCAAGUCGAGCGGGGUGAUGUAGCUUGCUACAUUACCUAGCGGCGGACGGGUGAGUAAUGCUUAGGAAUCUGCCUAUUAGUGGGGGACAACAUUCCGAAAGGAAUGCUAAUACCGCAUACGCCCUACGGGGGAAAGCAGGGGAUCUUCGGACCUUGCGCUAAUAGAUGAGCCUAAGUCAGAUUAGCUAGUUGGUGGGGUAAAGGCCUACCAAGGCGACGAUCUGUAGCGGGUCUGAGAGGAUGAUCCGCCACACUGGGACUGAGACACGGCCCAGACUCCU